UACAGAGGGUGCGAGCGUUGUCCGGAAUUACUGGGCGUAAAGGGCGCGUAGGCGGCCCCAGUACGCGUGCCGUGAAAGCCCGGGGCUCAACCCCGGGUCGGCGGUGCGAACGGGGGGGCUGGAGCCCACCAGAGGCAGGCGGAAUUCCGGGUGUAGCGGUGGAAUGCGUAGAGAUCCGGAAGAACACCGGUGGCGAAGGCGGCCUGCUGGGGUGGAGCUGACGCUGAGGCGCGACAGCGUGGGGAGCAAACAGG
rnacentral:rRNA from 1 species